rnacentral:rRNA from 1 species
GACAGAGGAUGCAAGCGUUAUCCGGAAUGAUUGGGCGUAAAGCGUCUGUAGGUGGCUUUUUAAGUCCGCCGUCAAAUCCCAGGGCUCAACCCUGGACAGGCGGUGGAAACUACCAAGCUGGAGUACGGUAGGGGCAGAGGGAAUUUCCGGUGGAGCGGUGAAAUGCGUAGAUAUUGGGAAGAACACCGGUGGCGAAGGCGGCGCUCUGGACCGAGACUGACGCUGAGGCGCGAAAGCGUGGGGAGCAAACAGG